UGCUGCUUUCCACAUGAACUUUAACCUUUAAUUAGUCCUCACUGUUCCCUGAACUGCCUCCUCCAGGCACAGCCUAGGCAGUUAAUUGGCCCAACUAGCAACAUUACCCCUUUAGGGGCUGCUGUGGGGUGAACACUCCAUCACACCAAGUUUGCCUAAUUUUAAGACAGUGACCUUUUCCUUCUUUCUCAUGGGAUAAGCAACCCCCUUAAAUCCUUUGUUACCUUCUUCAGUGGAAAGGGUGGAAAGCUGUAACCCCCACUCCUCUCUGACUGCACCCUCUGAAGAUCAUCCUGGAAACUUGCUGGGCAGCUAGUCUACCUUACUAGUAUCAAAGAAACCAAAGAUAUGCAGUGAGUUAAAUCAGUCUGCUCCUGAAAAACCAAGGCUACAGUGGGACCAGGAUUUCACUAUGUAUUUUAUCCCAUCUCUGCUGCAAUCAACUGAAUGCUUGCUCUGAAAAUGUCCAUAGCCCAUGUAUGUGCCAGUGUGUGAGAGAGAUCAGAUGGUUGAAUCAUCUCAUCUUGUGUUAAUGUCCCCAGUCCCACAAGUAGUUGUAGCUAUCCAGAGUAUAUUUGAAAAGAAAACGGUCAUUAGCAAACGUGAAGAUUUGCCCACACUACUGAAGAAAAUAAAUCUUCUCUUUGUGAAACAUGUUUAAUAUUAAAACAGUUUCCUGAACUCACAUCACACUCUCCUCUGAUAUGUUCAUCCAUAAAGGAUUACCUGUUUCCAACAUCAUUUGCAUCGUUAUCCUUUUAGCAAUCUAUAAACAGUACCGAUAGCAUAAUUAAUUGCACUUUUCCAGCAUAUAUAUUAGAAAUCCUAU